AGCUUUGUUCACUGGCAGUAUCACAGCCAAUAAGGUAUUCCCGAGGCACGAUUAUUGCUAACUGAAAACUUGUCCCAAAAAGACUCCAUGUGCUUAAAUGCCACUGGCCAGGGCGAAGAGUGAGAAUGGAUUUUGUUUUGACAU
rfam:Mesocricetus auratus contig052536, whole genome shotgun sequence.